AGCGGAGGAAAAGAAACUAACAAGGAUUCCCCUAGUAGCGGCGAGCGAAGCGGGAAGAAGCUCCAAAUUUAUAAUCUGGCACCUUCGGUGUCCGAGUUGUAAUCUCUAGAAGUGUUUUCCGCGUUGGACCGCGCAUAAGUCUGUUGGAAUACAGCGGCACAGUGGUGAGACCCCCGUAUGUGGUGCGGACGCCCAGCGCUUUGUGAUACACUUUCGAAGAGUCGAGUUGUUUGGGAAUGCAGCUCAAAUUGGGUGGUAAAUUCCAUCUAAAGCUAAAUAUUGGCGAGAGACCGAUAGCGAACAAGUACCGUGAGGGAAAGAUGAAAAGCACUUUGGAAAGAGAGUUAACAGUACGUGAAAUUGUUGGAAGGGAAACGCUUGAAGUCAGACUUGCUUGCCGGGCAACCGGUUUGCAGGCCAGCAUCAGUUUUCCGGGGUGGAUAAUGGUAGAGAGAAGGUAGCAGUUUCGGCUGUGUUAUAGCUCUCUACUGGAUACACCUUGGGGGACUGAGGAACGCAGUGUGCCUUACGGCGGAGGUUUCGACCUCUUCACACUUAGGAUGCUGGUGGAAUGGCUUUAAACGACCCGUCU
rnacentral:rRNA from 1 species